UACAUGGGGUGCAAACGUUGCUCGGAAUUAUUGGGCGUAAAGCGCGCGUAGGCGGUUACUUAAGUCGGAUGUGAAAGCCCUCGGCUUAACUGAGGAAGUGCACCCGAAACUGAGUAGCUAGAGUACGAAAGAGGGUCGCGGAAUUCCCGGUGUAGAGGUGAAAUUCGUAGAUAUCGGGAGGAACACCGGUGGCGAAGGCGGCGACCUGGGUCGAGACUGACGCUGAGGCGCGAAAAGCGUGGGGGAGCAAACAGG
rnacentral:rRNA from 1 species